CAGUAGCCACGGGAAUACGUAGGGCGCAAGCGUUAUCCGGAAUUAUUGGGCGUAAAGAGCUCGUAGGCGGUUUGUCGCGUCUGCCGUGAAAGUCCGGGGCUCAACCCCGGAUCUGCGGUGGGUACGGGCAGACUAGAGUGAUGUAGGGGAGACUGGAAUUCCUGGUGUAGCGGUGAAAUGCGCAGAUAUCAGGAGGAACACCGAUGGCGAAGGCAGGUCUCUGGGCAUUAACUGACGCUGAGGAGCGAAAGCAUGGGGAGCGAACAGGAUUAGAUACCCGAGUAUCCCCUGUCUCUUAUAU
rnacentral:rRNA from 1 species